AUUGAACGCUGGCGGCAUGCUUUACACAUGCGAGUCGAACGGUAACAGGCCGCAAGGUGCUGACGAGUGGCGAACGGGUGAGUAAUGCAUCGGAACGUGCCCAGUCGUGGGGGAUAACUACUCGAAAGAGUAGCUAAUACCGCAUACGAUCUAUGGAUGAAAGCGGGGGACCGUAAGGCCUCGCGCGAUUGGAGCGGCCGAUGUCAGAUUAGGUAGUUGGUGGGGUAAAGGCUCACCAAGCCAACGAUCUGUAGCUGGUCUGAGAGGACGACCAGCCACACUGGGACUGAGACACGGCCCAGACUCCUACGGGAGGCAGCAGUGGGGAAUUUUGGACAAUGGGCGCAAGCCUGAUCCAGCAAUGCCGCGUGCAGGAAGAAGGCCUUCGGGUUGUAAACUGCUUUUGUGCGGAACGAAACGGCUCUGGUUAAUACCCGGGGCUAAUGACGGUACCGUAAGAAUAAGCACCGGCUAACUACGUG
rnacentral:rRNA from 1 species